rnacentral:rRNA from 1 species
GACGAACGCUGGCGGCGUGCUUAACACAUGCAAGUCGAGCGGAAAGGCCACUUCGGUGGUACUCGAGCGGCGAACGGGUGAGUAACACGUGAGUAAUCUGCCCCUGGCUUUGGGAUAGCCACCGGAAACGGUGAUUAAUACCGGAUACGACCACUUCUCGCAUGGGAUGGUGGUGAAAGUUUUUUCGGCCAGGGAUGUGCGCGCGGCCUAUCAGCUUGAUUGUGAGGUAAUGGCUCACCAUGGCUUCGACGGGUAGCCGGCCUGAGAGGGUGACCGGUCACACUGGGACUGAGACGCGGCCCAGGCUCCUACGGGAGGCAGCAGUGGGGAAUAUUGGACAAUGGGCGGAAGCCUGAUCCAGCAACGCCGCGUGAGGGAUGACGGCCUUCGGGUUGUAAACCUCUUUCAGCAGGGACGAAGCGCAAGUGACGGUACCUGCAGAAGAAGCACCGGCCAACUACGUGCCAGCCGCCGCAGUAA